rnacentral:tRNA from 1 species
AAACUAAGGGAAUCGAGAUAGAGUUUCUAACUUUAAACCUUAAGCGGAGUAUCACCGUUUUUAGUUUA